CAGCCUAGUGCCCGACAGCGACCAUUCUUGUAGAUAAAGCUUCAACCUCCGGCUGGAUUUUUGCUGGAACCACUGUUCGACGGCGGCGAUGUCGUGCUAUGAUGGGUGGUGCCUACGGGAGUUGCUGGAAACGAUGUUUGGAUGAGCUGCAUUCGGCGAGGAGUGGUGCUGGAACAACGGGAGAUGAGGAGGAUGUGCUACGCCGGCGAAUUGGAGCUGCGGAGAGAGGCGUGGAGCGAUGGAGAUCCGACUAGCGGCGGAGAUCCAGCAGGUUAGGUCGCUCGUCCAUGGCGCUGGCGCCUGCCAUGCGUGCUCGCAUGAUUUGCAAGGUAGAAACGGUAUGAUGGGGACGAAAGCGACCUGAAUCUGACGACUAAAAGGGAUUUUAUCGAACGUACCGGGUGUGACCGGCCCAAAUUUGGGCCGGCACGCCAGCGCCUAGCGUUGAGGAAGUACAGGGUCCAUCACGUGAGGAUCAUAUGGGGAGUGAUAGUUUCGCAUGAAGCACAAGUUGCAUUACAUGCGAUCGGAGUAGUACCCGUGAGGGAGUACAAGUAUGUUGUCUCGGAGAGUUAUACCUGUGUUGUUUGUGGAGCACAAGUUUGUUAUAUUUGUAAGUACAAGUUUUGUACAAAAAAAUUUAUCAAAACAUAUCAACAUGCGAUGGGAUCUAAUUCCGAACA